AUGACAAACGGUUCGUUGGUUUACAAAUGGUCGGUCGUCGCCCGCCGCCGCUGUUUCCGCACCUCCGUGGUGGGGGCCGGGGUGGCGGCGGGCUAUGCAUAUUACCAGACUUGGUUCCAGACUUGCAUAGCCUGGGGAAGAGCUUGGAAGAGGAAACAAACCUUUUCGCUCAGUUUCGUCGUUGUUAUUCCGUUUGCAUCGUUUUGCUUCUUCUUGGCUGAAUUUUGCAGUGCCGGUUUUGUGCUUUGUGGGCGCUGUCUCCUGCCGAUAGCCACCAUGAAUUUCUGUUUUGCAGGGACUGUUUGCCUCACUUGGGCAAGCGAGAUUCUCACGUGGAUUGAUGAGAUAUGGUGA
rnacentral:rRNA from 1 species